rnacentral:rRNA from 1 species
AACGAACGCUGGCGGCAUGCCUAACACAUGCAAGUCGAACGAGACCUUCGGGUCUAGUGGCGCACGGGUGCGUAACGCGUGGGAACCUGCCCUUAGGUUCGGAAUAACUCCCCGAAAGGGGUGCUGAUACCGGAUAAUGUCUUCGGACCAAAGAUUUAUCGCCUUUGGAUGGGCCCGCGUUGGAUUAGCUAGUUGGUAGGGUAAAAGCCUACCAAGGCGACGAUCCAUAGCUGGUCUGAGAGGAUGAUCAGCCACACUGGGACUGAGACACGGCCCAGACUCCUACGGGAAGCAGCAGUGGGGAAUAUUGGACAAUGGGCGAAAGCCUGAUCCAGCAAUGCCGCGUGAGUGAUGAAGGCCUUAGGGUUGUAAAGCUCUUUUACCCGGGAUGAUAAUGACAGUACCGGGAGAAUAAGCUCCGGCUAACUCCGUG